AGCAGUCGCCACGGUAAUACAGAGGAUGCAAGCGUUAUCCGGAAUGAUUGGGCGUAAAGCGUCUGUAGGUGGCUUUUCAAGUCCGCCGUCAAAUCCCAGGGCUCAACCCCGGACAGGCGGUGGAAACUACCAAGCUGGAGUAUGGUAGGGGCAGAGGGAAUUUCCGGUGGAGCGGUGAAAUGCGUUGUGAUCGGAAAGAACACCAACGGUGAAAGCACUCUGCUGGGCCGACACUGACACUGAGAGACGAAAGCUAGGGGAGCAAAUGAGAUUAGAUACCCCGGUAGUCCCUGUCUCUUAUAA
rnacentral:rRNA from 1 species